rnacentral:rRNA from 1 species
CUAGCUACAGGCUUAACACAUGCAAGUCGAGGGGAAACGACAUCGAAAGCUUGCUUUUGAUGGGCGUCGACCGGCGCACGGGUGAGUAACGCGUAUCCAACCUGCCCACCACUUGGGGAUAACCUUGCGAAAGUAAGACUAAUACCCAAUGACGUCUCUAGAAGACAUCUGAAAGAGAUUAAAGAUUUAUCGGUGAUGGAUGGGGAUGCGUCUGAUUAGCUUGUUGGCGGGGUAACGGCCCACCAAGGCGACGAUCAGUAGGGGUUCUGAGAGGAAGGUCCCCCACAUUGGAACUGAGACACGGUCCAAACUCCUACGGGAGGCAGCAGUGAGGAAUAUUGGUCAAUGGACGAGAGUCUGAACCAGCCAAGUAGCGUGCAGGAUGACGGCCCUAUGGGUUGUAAACUGCUUUUAUAAGGGAAUAAAGUGAGUCUCGUGAGACUUUUUGCAUGUACCUUAUGAAUAAGGACCGGCUAAUUCCGUGCCAGCAGCCGCGGUAAUACGGAAGGUCCGGGCGUUAUCCGGAUUUAUUGGGUUUAAAGGGAGCGUAGGCCGGAGAUUAAGCGUGUUGUGAAAUGUAGACGCUCAACGUCUGCACUGCAGCGCGAACUGGUUUCCUUGAGUACGCACAAAGUGGGCGGAAUUCGUGGUGUAGCGGUGAAAUGCUUAGAUAUCACGAAGAACUCCGAUUGCGAAGGCAGCUCACUGGAGCGCAACUGACGCUGAAGCUCGAAAGUGCGGGUAUCGAACAGGAUUAGAUACCCUGGUAGUCCGCACGGUAAACGAUGGAUGCCCGCUGUUGGUCUGAAUAGGUCAGCGGCCAAGCGAAAGCAUUAAGCAUCCCACCUGGGGAGUACGCCGGCAA